rnacentral:rRNA from 1 species
UUGACGGAGAGUUUGAUCCUGGCUCAGGACGAACGCUGGCGGCGUGCUUAACACAUGCAAGUCGAACGAUGAUGCCCAGCUUGCUGGGCGGAUUAGUGGCGAACGGGUGAGUAAUACGUGAGUAACCUGCCCUUGACUCUGGGAUAAGCCUGGGAAACUGGGUCUAAUACUGGAUACUACCUCUUACCGCAUGGUGGGUGGUGGAAAGGGUUUUACUGGUUUUGGAUGGGCUCACGGCCUAUCAGCUUGUUGGUGGGGUAAUGGCUCACCAAGGCGACGACGGGUAGCCGGCCUGAGAGGGUGACCGGCCACACUGGGACUGAGACACGGCCCAGACUCCUACGGGAGGCAGCAGUGGGGAAUAUUGCACAAUGGGCGGAAGCCUGAUGCAGCGACGCCGCGUGAGGGAUGACGGCCUUCGGGUUGUAAACCUCUUUCAGUAGGGAAGAAGCGAGAGUGACGGUACCUGCAGAAGAAGCGCCGGCUAACUACGUGCCAGCAGCCGCGGUAAUACGUAGGGCGCAAGCGUUGUCCGGAAUUAUUGGGCGUAAAGAGCUCGUAGGCGGUUUGUCGCGUCUGCUGUGAAAGCCCGGGGCUCAACCCCGGGUCUGCAGUGGGUACGGGCAGACUAGAGUGCAGUAGGGGAGACUGGAAUUCCUGGUGUAGCGGUGAAAUGCGCAGAUAUCAGGAGGAACACCGAUGGCGAAGGCAGGUCUCUGGGCUGUUACUGACGCUGAGGAGCGAAAGCAUGGGGAGCGAACAGGAUUAGAUACCCUGGUAGUCCAUGCCGUAAACGUUGGGCACUAGGUGUGGGGGACAUUCCACGUUUUCCGCGCCGUAGCUAACGCAUUAAGUGCCCCGCCUGGGGAGUACGGCCGCAAGGCUAAAACUCAAAGGAAUUGACGGGGGCCCGCACAAGCGGCGGAGCAUGCGGAUUAAUUCGAUGCAACGCGAAGAACCUUACCAAGGCUUGACAUUCACCGGACCGCCCCAGAGAUGGGGUUUCCCUUCGGGGCUGGUGGACAGGUGGUGCAUGGUUGUCGUCAGCUCGUGUCGUGAGAUGUUGGGUUAAGUCCCGCAACGAGCGCAACCCUCGUUCUAUGUUGCCAGCACGUGAUGGUGGGGACUCAUAGGAGACUGCCGGGGUCAACUCGGAGGAAGGUGGGGAUGACGUCAAAUCAUCAUGCCCCUUAUGUCUUGGGCUUCACGCAUGCUACAAUGGCCGGUACAAAGGGUUGCGAUACUGUGAGGUGGAGCUAAUCCCAAAAAGCCGGUCUCAGUUCGGAUUGAGGUCUGCAACUCGACCUCAUGAAGUCGGAGUCGCUAGU